AACAUGUCGGUGAGGGCGAGUUGGUUUAUCUUUAGAACCAACUACAGCUUCUUCUGUUGUAUUUGUUUCUCUGUCUUGCAUUGUUUCAGUUGCGCUGUUUCAGACAUCAUCAUCAUCCUAUAUUUAUGUCCACUGCAGGGCGAAGGCCUCUCCCGGCUGUCUCCAAUUACCCCCGUCUUGCGCUAGCUAAUUCCAACUUAAUUGUACACGGUUAAGAGUUAUUUCUUUGCAAAUAUAUGUUCGUAUUGUGCAAUCUAUGUGCUAGGUAAUCAACUUUGACACCGAACUUUACUUCAAACAUUACCCUGAAACUUACAUUUCCGCUCAUCGUCAUAUACAGCCGAGUAUUGUAUUCUGAAAAAAAAAUCAAAAGAAAAAAUGUUAAGCAAUGCUGACUUUUAUAAUACAUACAAAAAGCGUUUUGUGUAAGCAUCGCUAUAGAAAACAGAGUAUGUCGCUAAAAGUGACCUUUCUUCUAUUCCUACCAUUAUGUGAAUGAAACCACCUUACCAAUUGCGCGUUGUUCAUUUCAACGUGAACUAAACACGUUCUGAUACUUGGUGACUUCUUUUAAAGUGAAGCGUUUAGUGAAGCUAGCGGAUUCUCUCGUGCAAAUUGCUUCGCUGCUUUUUGUACAAUGUUUCUGUGUCUCUUGGUUUCCUCGAUUGCUGACUGGUUGAUGCUUCCGUCCACUUUAAAUCCAAGCGCUUCUGGAGGCUUACGUUACCUACGAGUCUCACUGGGUGAACCUUUUGCAUUCCAUACGGAUGUGCUGAGUGUUCCCGGAUUUUACCUGCGGCAUACAUUUGCCUUAUCUAAGGAACCGGCCAGCCCAUUUGCACUAGCCGCCCAACUCAUGAUCUGCGUGUGAUUCAGGGGCACCAGGACAAUGUACCACAGGAUUGUAAAGAUAAAUAUGACAAAGAAAGAGGCACAGUAAGAGCAGACGUGGUGAAAUAUAACGCAGAAGACUGCAAGAAAUAUCAGCAGACGAAGAAUGACUGAGAUGCCGCUGCUUUAUACAGUAGAAAAGUUUAUUUGAUCAGCGCAAAUAUAAAUGCAAUAAAAAUACAACUAUUAUCAUUAUCUCUGAAAACGAAUAACUGCGGUAGUAAAAAAAUACGUUUCAGAGAAGUAGCUAUAAUAAAGUAUACAUCUACAUGAGUAA